AACCUGCGGCUGGAUCACCUCCUUUAAAGAAAAGGGUCUAGACCCCACACACGCCACUCGGUAAGGAAUUGGGCCUAUAGCUCAGCUGGCUAGAGCACACGACUGAUAAUCGUGAGGUCAGUGGUUCGAGUCCACUUGGGCCCACCAAAUGGGGCUGUAGCUCAGUUGGGAGAGCACCUGCUUUGCAAGCAGGGGUCACCGGUUCGAGACCG
rnacentral:rRNA from 1 species